GCGACCUCUGGGACACCCAGACUCCAGCUGCUGGGCAGGCAGUGGGGGGGCACCUGAGGUGUGGCUCCUGGUAGGCUCACAGGUGCUUCUGUGUCCUGUAGCUACAGCCUGUCCUGCCAGCUAGGGCCCCAGGCCUAGUUGGCCAGCAGAAUACUCAAGGCCAAGAAGAACCGGCCAUCAUCAAGGUCAGGGCCCCCAGGCCCCAACACCGAGCCCCAUACCAGUGGCCAAUCACAGCCGCAUCCUCAGCAGCGGGGACACAGCUGGGACGCUUGCGAUGCACCGGGCCGGCUCCUCCCACCUGAUGGGCGAAGAUUUGUGAUGCAGCUUUUAAGGCUACAUCUGGGCCUCCUUCCGUCAUGUCUAUGCUGCCUACACACUAGGCUCUCCAGCAUCCCUUCACGUACUUAUGUAAUGCUGUUUCAGGAGGAAAUGUCCUGGAGGCCCCAGCCUCUGUCAGGCCAUGAGAUGACCUGAAUGCAGAUGUAGUGGGAUUCAUCACCUCUGCAUCCUUCAGUCCUCGGUGGUGGUCCUAAUCUCUGCAGUCCCU